ACGGGGGGGCAAGCGUUGUUCGGAAUUACUGGGCGUAAAGGGCUCGUAGGCGGCCAACUAAGUCAGACGUGAAAUCCCUCGGCUUAACCGGGGAACUGCGUCUGAUACUGGAUGGCUUGAGUGUAGGAGAGGGAUGCGGAAUUCCAGGUGUAGCGGUGAAAUGCGUAGAUAUCUGGAGGAACACCGGUGGCGAAGGCGGCAUCCUGGACUACUACUGACGCUGAGUGAGCGAAAGCCAGGGGAGCAAACGGGA
rnacentral:rRNA from 1 species